UGCUUUUCGGAGUUACAAAAGACUAGGUGGACAAUCUAAGGGAACUAAAUUAACAUGGAUUCCAGCACAGUGUGCUCAACAACCGGGAUCACUAGAUUGUGGCUACUACGUCAUGCGUUUUAUGUACGACAUAAUAAUGAAUCAUGGUAAUAGUCAAGAUCUUACUAAGGAUUUUUCAAGAACAUUGCCUUAUUCAACGGAGGAGAUUAAUGAGGUGAAAGAUUUUUGGGCAGAUUACUUCAUGAACAAUGUCGAAUUUUGAGCUUAAUUUGUAAUAUGAACUUGAUCUCUAGCUAGCUACGUACCUUUGUUGUAAUAAUUUUAUGUUUGUUGUAACAUGUUGGUUGAUCUAUGACGAAUUUAAUUGCCUUUUAUUGGGAACGUUAAUUACGUUGUAAACUUUUGUGACAGGUAUUAUUUAUAAAUGUAU